rnacentral:lncRNA from 1 species
GUGGCGUGGCGUAGCGUGGCUCGACGUGACGUGACGGGCGACCGGCAAAGCGGCGAAGUAGGGAGGAGACGCCGCGGGCAGCAAGGAGCACGGGCAGUGGAAGCUGGCUCUAAGAGCUCCUCCUCUGCUGCGGCCGUCGCUACGGGCCGAAAAGGAGAACGGAAAGAAGGGAGGGAGCUACCCAGAUUCUCAGGGCUGUGUGCUAACACGGAAAGGAGGGGGCGGGAGGAGUUGGCUGCUUCCAAUAGAGCCCACUCUGGGGCUGGACAAGCACCCCGCCUUCUGAUCCUCCUCCCUCUGCUUUCCUCCUCCCACCUCUUACCCCUAGCCCGAGGCCUGACCCUGAAACCUUCCCAAGCUUGGACUCUAUCGUGGGGCUCCAGACUCCACCCCGAGUCCAAAGUUUUCCAGCAGCCGAUGAUGGCAGAUUUUUUUAAAAGGGCAUCUCAAACCGGAAGGUUACAUCAGACUUUCUUCAGAAAGUGGGGGAAGUGAUCCAGGAAGCAGGAGUCAGAUAUUCGAAGCUCAUUGUCCAUUGGAACAAAUUCCUGGCUGAUAGAAGUAGAAGAACAAAAGAGAACUGUCACCUGUGGCCAGAAAUAUAGAUGUCACAAUUGUCACAAAUCAAAUAACAACUUGCUCACUCUGAAAGAAAUCCACAAAUUCAGUGAUGUCAGAAUCUACACAUUAGUAUGUAGGAUUACUGAAGCUCUUCCUGGAGGAGGCAGCAGCAGUCAUAGAGGAGAAAAAGGGUCUUCAGUGUUCCUUCAGAAUUUCUUGUAUAUCCACUUUACUAUUUUCUCCAUCUCUGACUCUGUGUCUCUGCUUCUUGGGGAAAUAUAUUUAAAAACUACCUUUAAUUUUCAUUACAAAAGUAUUGGCAUAUUGUCUUAUUUUUUUCUUGAAUGAAAUUGUUAUUUAUGUGAUAUGUUACCAUUUUUUGGAAUAAAUUAUUAAUUUCUAUUUAAAUUUGAAUGCUU